rnacentral:sRNA from 1 species
CGGCCCUUUCCGCCGUCUCGCAAGCGGGCGCUGGCUUAAGGAAAGGAUGUUCCGCGACCGUUAGGGCAAGCGCGUCUCAGCGCUUGCUAUCGCGGCAAUAUCGCCAGUGGUGCUGUCGUGAUGCGGUCUUCGCAUGGACCGCACAAUGAAGAUACGGUGCUUUUGUAUCGUACUUAUUGUUUCUGGUGCGCUGUUAACCGAGGUAAAUAAUAACCGAAGUCUCUUCGGCGACAAUUUAC